UGUGAAUCUACGAACCUGUGUAAAUUGAUACGCUACAUCCCUCAUAAUCUUUUAGAAAAAUUCUUUCAAUGCGAAGUUUCCUUUUGUAUGCCGACGAGUGCACAUCGCAGUUCUCGUAGUACGCAUUCUUUGGAAGUAAUAGAGAAGAAUCAAUAAUGAAAUUGUGGAAUGGGGAUAGUGGGCUUCCCGAGAUGACAACAAAGUCGAGCGUUCGACCGAUUUUAAUAGUUAAUGGUUCAGUCUUGCUACGAACUUCGAAGAGUACACAUCGCAGUUCACGUAGUACGCAUUCUUU